UUCAGAUUGCAGGGCACGGAAUAUUAUCCUCAAACAAGGGUCUCAUCUGGAGAGCUCCAGGCACGCUGGCAAUGGGCAGGAGAUGCAAUCUUACCCACUUCUGCAUUCCAGACAAGCGGCGCCAACGCUUCAGGACUUGCUGGCUGCAAGGUCAAGCAGCCCCAAAAUGUGCUGGCUGCCCAACAUUCUGGGAUAAAAGAGGUUUGGCACGGCUGAAGUGUGAAGAGCUGAGGAACAGCCCUUCCGCAGAGAUACACUAUCUCCUGAGCAUCCACAGGGACACUCCAGGGUUGAGGCGUUUUCCAACCAAAGGACUGCUCCAUGGCUAAAACUGGAUCCCACUUCAAAGGCUCUGGUUUGGGUUUGGCUGCUUUUGUGUGCUCAGCCUGUGCACGGAGCUGGCUCUCAACCAGCCCGUCUGGAACUGCAGGUAGUGCAAGGCUCGAGAGAGUCGGAGCGCUGGGAGGGCUCAGUGCAUUGGUUCGUCCGAUUUUUAAAGAUGCUAAACCUGAGCUGCAAACAGCUCCAGCUUCCUGGGCUUUCGGACGAGGAUGUUUGGUUCGAGCUGCAUUCAAAGUGAAUGAAUCCUACCCUUUUGCCAGGCAUUGCACAGCCUGGUUUUGGUUUUCUGGGAAUGAUCCACAAGAAAUGAUGCUCUAUCACUUCACUUGCUCAGAAA